GCUUGCUUUCUUUGCUGGCGACCGGCGCACGGGUGAGUAACACGUAUCCAACCUACCCUUUACUCGGGGAUAGCCUUUCGAAAGAAAGAUUAAUACCCGAUGGCAUAGUUCUUCCGCAUGGUAGAACUAUUAAAGGAUUUCGGUCAUCGAUGGGGAUGCGUUCCAUUAGGUUGUUGGCGGGGUAACGGCCCACCAAGCCUUCGAUGGAUAGGGGUUCUGAGAGGAAGGUCCCCCACAUUGGAACUGAGACACGGUCCAAACUCCUACGGGAGGCAGCAUG
rnacentral:rRNA from 1 species